GACAGAGGGUGCAAACGUUGCUCGGAUUUACUGGGCGUAAAGCGCAUGUAGGCGGGACGAUAAGUCGGGUGUGAAGUCCCUGGGCUCAACCUAGGAACUGCAUCCGAAACUGCCGUUCUGGAGUAGUGGAGAGGAAAGCGGAAUUCCGGGUGUAGAGGUGAAAUUCGUAGAUAUCCGGAGGAACACCAGUGGCGAAGGCGGCUUUCUGGACACUAACUGACGCUGAGAUGCGAAAGCGUGGGGAGCAAACAGG
rnacentral:rRNA from 1 species